CAAUAGCGUAUAUUAAAGUUGUUGCAGUUAAAAAGCUCGUAGUUGGAUUUGUGGCGUACGGUGGGUUCCGGGCACUUGUUGUCUGAGUAACUUGCUGUUGCCAUCCUUGGGUGGAACCUGUGUGGCAUUAGGUUGUCGUGCAGGGGAUGCCCAUCAUUUACUGUGAAAAAAUUAGAGUGUUCAAAGCAGGCUUAUGUCGUUGAAUAUAUUAGCAUGGAAUAAUGAGAUAGGACUUUUUUGCUAUUUUGUUGGUUUGCGCAAAGAGGUAAUGAUUAAUAGGGACAGUUGGGGGUAUUCGUAUUCCAUUGUCAGAGGUGAAAUUCUUGGAUUUUUGGAAGACGAACUACUGCGAAAGCAUUUACCAAGGAUGUUUUCAUUAA
rnacentral:rRNA from 1 species